GACGAACGCUGGCGGCGUGCUUAACACAUGCAAGUCAAGGACCGUAGCAAUACGGGACUGGCGCACGGGUGCGGAACACGUAGGCAAUCUGCCCUAAAGGGGAGAACAACCCGUCGAAAGACGGGCUAACACUCCGUAAAAUCAUAGAGUGGCAUCACUUAUUGAUCAAGUUUUCUUUAGGAUGAGCCUGCGUCUGAUUAGCUAGUUGGCGGGGUAACGCCCACCAAGGCUACGAUCAGUAGCUGGUCUGAGAGGAUGAUCAGCCACAUUGGGACUGAGAUACGGCCCAGACUCCUACGGGAGGCAGCAGUGAGGAAUAUUGCUCAAUGGGGGGAAACCCUGAAGCAGCAAACGCCGCGUG
rnacentral:rRNA from 1 species